rnacentral:misc_RNA from 1 species
ACUUGACUCGGUUGCCUCGUCCCUCUGUCAACUCUUUCCUCGCUAUCCGUUGCAGCGCACAUAUAAACGCGCACUCCUCUACACACGCAAGCCUGUAUAAGAGCAGCCACACGAACUUCGAGAGAGAGGGAGGCUUUAAGCAGUAGGUUACCGUGCUCUGCUGCUUCAGGCUCUGUCUCGCCGUCGGUGUGCUGCUUAUCGGCGCCCUCUGCUUUCCGCAGUUUUCUCGUCUUUUGCUGUUUCGCAUUCCGUCAUUUUUUAUCGAUGCCAAGGGGAGCAAAGGGGGGUAAGAAGCGGUCGCGCAAGGAGGCCAGCGACAAUAUCGUUGAGGAUCUCGACCUCGACAUUGGGGACGCGGGUGCGUAUGUCAACGACGACGAUGUCGUGCACAACCGCUGCAGCCGCAAGGCCACCCGAGAGGAUGGCGUAGAGGAGGAGGAUAUGUUCGCCGUUCUGCCCUCGGACGCGCACCGCCUCGACGGAUACGGCGACGACGAGAACGGCGGAUUCCAGGAAGAGGAAGAGUUAGCGGUGGUGACGGAGAAGGGGCUGCGCAAGAAGACAACCGAGGAAGACUUCGACGUGGCCGGCGUGUCGGUGGCUCACUUGUCUUCGCGGCGUGACGAUGUGGCCAAGAAGAGUUCUUUAGACGCGCUCGAUGCUGCGCCAGUAAUCGAGGCCGUCGAGCGCGACUUUGCCGCUCUUACCACGGCAGAGCGGCUGGCGGUGCUCAAGAAGGAGUCACCGGAGCUGCUGAAGCUGCUGCUGGACCUAAAGACGUACAUGGCCGAGGUCAAGACACUCGCGCAGCCGCUUCACGAGCUGCUCUACGAGCGUAAGGUAUCCCCCUCGGACAAGAAUCUUGUCUCUUUCUUAGAAACCAAGGUUCAGCUCAUGCUGAGCUACUGCAUGCACGUAACCUUCUACCUCCUACUCAAGUCGGAGGGCCGAAAGGUAGCCGGCCACCCCGUGAUUGACCACUUGGUGGAGAUUCGUGUGUACCUGGAGAAGAUGUGGCCUCUGGAGGAGAAGCUGCAAUACUCACUGAACCGCCUCAUCAGCGGCAAAUCCACAGCAGCUGCACACCUGAAUGAGCUUCGUCCGCUGCAGUCCGGCGAGGGUGGCGCCUUCGAGUCCUCUCGCGCCAUGCAGAACACCGAGGCCCGCGAGCGCCGCCAGCAGUUGCGCCACAUGAAGGAGGCAGAGGAGCUGGAGCGGGAAGAGCAGGCUGCCAUGACGCGUGUGCGCACCAAGAAGGCGUCCGCGCUCAACAACAGCAACACCGCCAGCUCCGCGAUAGCGCCCGUCAGCUACCAGGAGGACGAGGACCAGUUCUUCUCUCGCAUUGCCGGCGGCGCCGACAAGGACGGCGGGGGUGCCGACGAAGUUGAAGGCGAGGAGGGUCUCUCUCUCAUGGAGGUUCUGCGCCGCCGCCAGAAGAAGGCUGGGGACGUGCUGAGCCGCCAGCGCACAUCGAAACAGCCAUCAAAACCCGCCGCAGUGGACUCCGAUGACGGCGAUGACGAGGACGAUUUGAAUGGGAUGGGCGACAUGGACGGCGACGAGGACGAAAUGGACCUCGGAGGCGCGGACGACGGAGACGACUGCAGCGAUGGAGACUACGAGGCGGUUUGGGAGGAGGAGCGUGCCCGUCAGGCCGCCGAGUCCUCUCGAAAGGCUGCCGCUGCCGCGGCCGCCUCGGCGCGCCGCCCUGCUCAGGAGGAGGUAGAUCGCCGCAAAGUCGGCAAGAAGAUCGAGUCGCACCGUGGACUCACGAGGGCCCGUCCGAAGGACCGCAAGAACCCACGCGUCGCCCAGCGCCGCAAGUACGAGCGCGGCAUGCAGGUGCAGAAGUCCCAGUCACGCAGUUUUCAGCCGAAGCCGGAGGGUGAGUUCGUCGGCGUACGGGACAUGAGGCCAGGCGUGGUGCGCGGCACCAAGCUAUGAUGCACUUCCUCCUACGCUCUGAAACGGGGACGGCAGUUCGGCUUUGCGGAUGUGCCUGUCCGCGCCACCGCGUGUGUGCGUGCGCGCGAGAGGGCUGGAUGAUGACCCGAUUAACGACUCUCCGUUUCUCUGUGCUCUUUUCGUUCAACUCACAGUGUUACUUCGCGAUUAAUAUUCGGCUUAAGUUCUAAGGCAUGCGAUGGCCGCUAUCCGUCCCUGACUUCUUCAGCACGCCCGUGGGUGUACGUGAGCUGCCUUUUUUUUUGUUCCUUGUCGAGAUUGACACGCGUGGGUGCGUGCGUUGGCGCGUACCUGCACCCCUCUGAAGGGAAAGAAAGCGUGAGGCGGAGGGGGGGGGAGGGGAGAUAAUGUUCUCCGUGCUUCACUGUCUCUUGUGCCUUGUGCCUCGCGUCGAUCACCCGUGCGGUUCUUUCCUUUUGCUCUUCGAAGGUUAAAGGGCCGCCUGUAUGGGCGUGUGCAAUGAUGUGCGUUUCCGUGCGUGCGUGCGAGUUAAUCGCGGACUAAAUAUGGCGACUAUAACGAUACGAAAAG